GAUGAACGCUGGCGGCGUGCCUAAUACAUGCAAGUCGGGCGAACGGACGAGAAGCUUGCUUUUCUGAUGUUAGCGGCGGACGGGUGAGUAACACGUGGAUAACCUACCUAUAAGACUGGGAUAACUUCGGGAAACCGGAGCUAAUACCGGAUAAUAUUUUGAACCGCAUGGUUCAAAAGUGAAAGACGGUCUUGCUGUCACUUAUAGAUGGAUCCGCGCUGCAUUAGCUAGUUGGUAAGGUAACGGCUUACCAAGGCAACGAUGCAUAGCCGACCUGAGAGGGUGAUCGGCCACACUGGAACUGAGACGCGGUCCAGACUCCUACGGGAGGCAGCAGUAGGGAAUCUUCCGCAAUGGGCGAAAUCCUGACGGAGCAACGCCGCGUGAGUGAUGAAGGUCUUCGGAUCGUAAAACUCUGUUAUUAGGGAAGAACAUAUGUGUAAGUAACUGUGCACAUCUUGACGGUACCUAAUCAGAAAGCCACGGCUAACUACGUG
rnacentral:rRNA from 1 species